rnacentral:rRNA from 1 species
UAAUCGCGGAUCAGAAUGCCGCGGUGAAUACGUUCCCGGGUCUUGUACACACCGCCCGUCACACCAUGGGAGUCGGAAAUGCCCGAAGUCGGUGACCGAACCGAAAGGAAGGAGCCGCCGAAGGCAGGUCUGGUGACUGGGGUGAAGUCGUAACAAGGUAAC